ACAGCCAACUUUCUCAUUUUGCCGCUUCUUCUCACUCUGAUUCUUUUUAACUCAGACUUCUCUCUCUCUCUCUCUCUCUCUCAUAUACAUACACUCAAACACAAAGUGAAGAGCUUUCUGUUAAUCUGUUGUUACUAGGAGAAAUACACGAAGAUGACAACGGACACUGAUGAACCGUUGGACUUCGAGUACGAAGACCCCCCAGCCAUUUCAAAUAAAAAGAAAAAGGUUAUAGGUUUAGAUGACCUGUUAAAUGACUUCCACAAGGAGAAUAAGAAGGUUACUAAACGUUCAAAGGUCCAAAAGGCCUAUGAUUCCGAUGAUGACAUUGAUGCCAGAGAAGCUACAUUUCAUAACUGUGUUAAUGAGUUCCAAGCAAAGAUGAAUCAAAUAAAGGCCGAUGAUGAAAUGCCUUUGUGGGGUCUUCAAGUUUUUGGAUAUCAGAAAACUUUGCCAAAACUGGAUUUUCCUGAGCUAAAGAGGUGCAGGUUUCUGCAAUCUUUCCUGAAAAACGAGCUUAAUUCAUUGGUAGAACUCAAAACAGAUGAAGGACAGAGUUUCCUUCAGGGGUUGCUCAAAGAUGGAUGGCUUUUGAAAUUAAUCAGCUCUCAUGGUCAACUUGAAAGAUCCAUUGCAAAAUGGAGUUUUAAUAUGUUGCUAUAUUCACCACAACAACAGUUAGGAGCUGCCGCAUGCAGCUUUUGGUGUCGCAUUCUCUUGUCUAAAACUGAGAUUGACCUACAACACUUUGAAAUUGAAUGGUUACCAGACUAUUCAGAACUAAUAAGAGCCCUUGAUGUAUAUGGCUUUCUAUUGGAUGCACCUUCAAAGUCAUCAUCAUCCAUGGAACUUGACCAUUUAGAUUCUGAUUCUUCUGGUCCACCACAAAAUAUAAGGUCUUGGAUAAAGUUUGUUUCUGUUAUUUGCAAAGUAAGGAACAUAUGUUCAGUCUUCUCAACUGAAGAGGUAGAAGACCUGAUAGUAGUGAUGAUCUGUAUGUUUAUGGAUCGGCAACUUCUAGGCCUCUCCCUAAUCUUGGAUGAGUGUCUUCACUCGCUUAUUAGCUUUUUUAGUGACAGUGAAUUUGAUGUCAGCUGUGUCAAAAUAGCUAAGUCCCUUGCCUGCAGACUGGCUACUGAUAUCUCUUGCUUGAGAGCUGUGGAUAGCAUUUCAGUGCUUGAUGCUCGUAGUAAGCGUUUAAAAAGUGCAGUAGCCUUUGAGUUUCUUGUAGCAUGUUUUGAUAGUAAGGUAUCUGAUGCAGAAGGGAUCUUAAAGUCUAUAAUUGCUAUUAAUCUGAGAGAUGAGAGCUUUGAUCUUCAGAAAAUGUAUAUAUACCUGAUAUUGGUAGAAAACUGGCUUUUCUGUGACCCAAUGCUAAAAGACAAUCCCGAACUAAUUGAGAUGUGGGCAGUAUGUCUGCGGAACUGCACCUGCCAAAUCAGCAGCACAGAUUUGAGGUCUUAUGCUUUAAAGGUAGAUCGCUAAGGCUCCCUUUUCUUGAAUUUUUGGAUUGGCUGAUGACACGGGGUGCUUCAAUUUUGCAGGUUUCUUGAAUCUGGGAAUUGAAUGCCAUUUAGCAGAAUGAAAGGGAACAAAAUGGCAAAACGGUCGUCUUUUGGAAGCAUUGUGAGGAAGAGGCUCUCAGACGUCACAAACUCUCUGCCGCAACCCAAAUCCCCUAUCCAUCUCCAAAAUGAUGCUUCUUCGGCUAAGGACUACAUCGAUUAUCUUGUAAAGG